rnacentral:tRNA from 1 species
AAGAAAGUAUGCAAGAACUGCUAAUUCAUGCCACCAUGUAUAAACACAUGGCUUUCUUAC